AUACUUCUGAAGAGCCCCAAACUAGGUGGACGAAACAGCUGUCCAGUAU
rnacentral:hammerhead_ribozyme from 1 species